rnacentral:rRNA from 11 species
UUCAAGAAUCAAAGUAUCUUAAAGGCACCCAGUCCUGUAUGAUCUUGGAAGCAAAGCAUGGUCAUCCCUGAAAAGUAUUUGGAUGGAAGACCACCAUGUGUUUUUGGCUGUAUUUCAGA